UACAGAGGAGCCAAGCGUUGUCCGGAUUGACUGGGCGUAAAGCGCACGCAGGCGGCACCGCGCGUGGGGUGUGAAAUCUGGCCGCUUAACGGCCAGGCGCCAUCCCAUACGGCGGAGCUGGAGUGAUGCAGAGGUCGAUGGAAUUGCCGGUGUAGUGGUGAAAUGCGUAGAGAUCCGGAGGAACCCCAGAGGCGAAGGCGGCGUCCUGGCUCGCAUCUGACGCUCAGACACGACAGCAUGGGGAGCGAACGGG
rnacentral:rRNA from 1 species